rnacentral:pre_miRNA from 1 species
UGUAUACUUUCUCCGUCCAACAAAAGAUGUCUCAAGUUUGUCAACAUUUGAAUGUAUCUAUACAUGACUUAGCGUAUAGAUGCAUUCAAAUUUGAUCAAAGUUGAGACAUUUUUUGUUGGACGGAAGAAGUAUUUA